CCUACGGGAGGCAGCAGUGGGGGAUAUUGCACAAUGGGGGGAACCCUGAUGCAGCGACGCCGCGUGGGUGAAGACGCGCCUCGGCGCGUAAAGCCCUGUCAGCAGGGGAGAAAAUGACGGUACCUGAAGAAGAAGCCCCGUCUAACUACGUGCCAGCAGCCGCGGUAAUACGUCGGGGGCAAGCGUUAUCCGGCUUUACUGGGGGUAAAGGGGGCGCAGACGGGGAUGCAAGCCAGGAGUGAAAGCCCGGGGACCAACCCCGGGACUGCUCUUGGAACUGGGUGGCUGGAGUGCAGGAGGGGCAGGCGGAAUGCGUGGUGUAGCGGUGAAAUGCGUAGAUAGCAGGAGGAACACCGGUGGCGAAGGCGGCCUGCUGGACUGCAACUGACGUUGAGGCCCGAAAGCGUGGGGAGCAAACAGGAUUAGAUACCCCUGUAGUC
rnacentral:rRNA from 1 species